UCGGGAUAGCUCAGCUGGUAGAGCAGAGGACUGAAAAUCCUCCGUGUCC
rnacentral:tRNA from 7 species